CAUUAACAAAUCUUUAUAUGUACAGUGCGUGCAUAUAUAUUUACCCCGAGCCUGGCAGUAAUAUGCCGGCUUUGGUUGGGCAGGUGCGCAAGCACUUGCUCCGGUCGUGUGUGCGCUUCAGGGCCUCCGGGUCUUGAUGGCAUGUGCGCAUGGCCACAUAGACGCUUGUAUGUUUGACAGAGUUACGGUUGUAAAACUAAAAUGACAACUUUUAACAAUGGAUCUCUUGGCUCUUGCAACGAUGAAGAACGCAGUGAAAUGCGAAAAGUAAUGCGAUUUGCAUGAAUCUGUGAGUCAUCAAGUCUUUGAACGCACCUUGCACCGUAUUAGUAAUGGUACGGUAUACCUGUUUGAGAAUCGUAAAACUCUCUUUCCAUCUUCCUUCUUUGGGGGACUGGAAGACUUUGUCGGCUGUGCGCCUAGCGCGCACUCUGAUUAAACGGAGUAAGUCUGGAUCAGGCUGGUGGCCUGGGACAUUGUGUGCUAGAGACGUCGCCUCGGCGCACUGUCUUGUCACAAUGCGUCCUUGGCUAUUCAAAGCUGGCCUGAUACACUGGGCUUUUUCAGUAGGCAGCCCUCCUCUCUCUUAGGAGAGGAGGGGUGGAGGUCUACAACCCCCCUUUUUGAUCUCAAAUCAGGUAAGGCUACCCGCUGAACUUAA
rnacentral:rRNA from 1 species